AAAUCAAAUCAAAUGAACAUCCUCAAUCAGUCAAAGUUGAAGUCAAUGUUAAAAAAAUGAUAAUUUAAAUUGGAAAAAAGUGAAAAUCAAACCAGAAAGGACAUCAUUUUAUGCUUACAAAAAAACACCGGAAAAUUAAAUUAUCCUGAAAGAGAGUAGAGAAAUCAUAUCAACCUACAAUAAUAAAGUACUUUAACAUUUGUGCACUACACUUUCAGGCAAAACCGACCUUUAAAGUAAAUUAAACCUGCCCCCAAAACAGAAAAAAAUCGAGGAAAAAAACGGAUGAAAGGAAGAAGUAAUUUUAGAACUGAGAAGGAAAAUGAUUAAUUACACUGCAAAAUGAAAAAACCGGUGAAUUCUGGAGAAGUAGAAGAAGUAGAAGAAGUACGACGGCAUAAAUUAAUGAAGAAAGUUUUAUUAAAAACACGAAGUUGAAAUUAAAAACAAUUCACGCAAACCUAAUGGCAGAAGACAGGAACAGAAUAUCGUAGCUUAUGAAUACACAACACAAGAAACUCACGGAAGAUAUGGAACACAAUGGGAGUACACCUUCGUAUUCCAUUGACCAUGGAUUUGUGCUUUCUCUAUUACGAACAUAAUGAGUUGAAAACAAAGUUAACGUUUAUUUUGAUAUCAACCUGAAAAAAUUCCACAGAUAAGAAAAACUGAAAAAGCAAGCGAAUACGCUGAUACCUUGUUUAGCCUGCUAUUCUUCUGCGAGUAUCUCAACUUCAUGCAGAAAAUCUUUGAAAAUGAAUAUUGUAGGAACAGAGAAGUGAAAAACAAAAAUCAGAAACAAGAAAACAGAAGACAGAAGACAAAACUAACGAAAGCAAAACAAAACCGAAAAUUUAAACAAUGAACACACUUCAUCGGAUAGAUACAUUCGAAAAGUUUUAGGGUACCGAUUGUGGCGCAAAGGGUACAACUUUGGCUAGUACCCUGGCUAGUGCACAUACCGAAUGGUUACAUAUUAUCGGAACGGUCACUGAUAACAGUUUUUGUUAUUUCAUUUUUUAUUAAUAAUGAAAACAGUAAAUGACGCAAAGUAAACAAACUUUUACGAUGUGCCCGUAACGAUAGAAGUUGGUAUUUGUGUGUGAAGUAUUCGUAAAAUAACAUAGAUACGCAAAUAGGUAUGUGUUUGACUAUGGCUUUGUGUGUUUUUGAUAUGAAAAGUGGAGCGGAAUGUUGUCAUUUCGAAAUAGUGAUUAAUCUUGCCUACAUAUCUGUAUUUGUACGAUUUUAUAGAUAUUUGGUAAUGGGGCUCCCUAGUAUUGACCUUGGUCACCUGUCGCUUUAGCAUUGAUUAGUCCUAUUUUCAUUUGUGAAUUUCAUUUUCAGCACAUCGAUAAAUAGUCAGUCAUACAGUCACUCUUUCUACUUCUGCGAUUGUAGUACUUAUCAAAAUGUUACCCUUAUUAAGCCAGUUA